rnacentral:rRNA from 1 species
UACCUACGGGACGCAGCAGUGAGGAAUAUUGGUCAAUGGGCGGGAGCCUGAACCAGCCAAGUCGCGUGAGGGAAGACGGUCCUAUGGAUUGUAAACCUCUUUAGGCGGGGAGCAAUGCCGGGCACGUGUGCCCGGAGGGAGAGUACCCGCAGAAUAAGCAUCGGCUAACUCCGUGCCAGCAGCCGCGGUAAUACGGAGGAUGCGAGCGUUAUCCGGAUUUAUUGGGUUUAAAGGGUGCGCAGGCGGUCUGUUAAGUCAGCGGUCAAAGCCCGGGGCUCAACCCCGGCCCGCCGUUGAAACUGGCG